GUAAGGGAAUAUGCCAGUGGCGGUCCCUAGAGUGUCCUGGGACAGCCGCUCAUUUCUCCUCCUAGCACUCCCGCCAGGAGUGUAGCAGAGAAGGGGUGCCUGCAGUGUGCGCGCCAGGGAGGGCACAGAAGAGGGGAGCCAAUAUGUUUUGGAGAUGUAGUUGGGAGCCAGGGAUCUGUGCAUCGUGAAUAUUUUGAUCAGCGGUCGGCAUUGUAGUCAGAUCACCAAAUGGUUGAACAGAGGUCAGAGUCAAUACUGAAUUGAAUGAAAGAAUGAAGAUGAGAAGACACUCUGCGUAAUUGGAGCAGCUCCUGAGUGCCCCGAACAACCAAAAUGUUGACUUUGAAAUAACAAAAUAAAGCUGGGCAAUGGAUAUAAGAAAAU